rnacentral:rRNA from 1 species
GAUGAACGCUGGCGGCGUGCCUAAUACAUGCAAGUCGAGCGAACAGAGGAGGAGCUUGCUCCUCGGACGUUAGCGGCGGACGGGUGAGUAACACGUGGAUAACCUACCUAAAAGACUGAGAUAACUUCGGGAAACCGGAGCUAAUACCGGAUAAUAUAUUGAACCGCAUGGUUCAAUAGUGAAAGACGGUUUUGCUGUCACUAGUAGAUGGAUCCGCGCCGCAUUAGCUAGUUGGUAAGGUAACGGCUUACCAAGGCAACGAUGAGUAGCCGACCUGAGAGGGUGACCGGCCACACUGGAACUGAGACACGGUCCAGACUCCUCGGGGAGGCAGCAGUAGGGAAUCUUCCGCAAUGGGCGAAAGCCUGACGGAGCAACGCCGCGUGAGUGAUGAAGGUCUUCGGAUCGUAAAACUCUGUUAUUAGGGAAGAACAAAUGUGUAAGUAAAUAUGCACGUCUUGACGGUACCUAAUCAGAAAGCCACGGCUAACUACGUG